rnacentral:rRNA from 1 species
CAGUCGCCGCGGUAAUACGAAGGGCGCAAGCGUUAUCCGGAAUUAUUGGGCGUAAAGAGCUCGUAGGCGGUUUGUCGCGUCUGCCGUGAAAGUCCGGGGCUCAACCCCGGAUCUGCGGUGGGUACGGGCAGACUAGAGUGAUGUAGGGGAGACUGGAAUUCCUGGUGUAGCGGUGAAAUGCGCAGAUAUCAGGAGGAACACCGAUGGCGAAGGCAGGUCUCUGGGCAUUAACUGACGCUGAGGAGCGAAAGCAUGGGGAGCGAACAGGAUUAGAUACCCCCGUAGUCCCUGUCUCUUAUAC